CAACUGCGAUAAUUAGUGCGAACUGCAGAUAUUUUGAGCACUAAAGUUUCGAAUGCACAUUGCGCCAUUGGAUUUUAUCCUUUGGCACGUCUGUUUCAGGGUCGUAAAUACAAAACCCCAUGCACAUGGUGGUGAAACGACCUGUGUGACCGGAGUCGCAUUGGCUUAGCACUUGUUUCUUGUGUAGUUUUUGGCCAAUUUGACAACGCUCGCACAAAUAAAAACGCUGCUCACUGUUUGGUAGCAUUGCCGCUAAGUCCUAGCGAUUUCUACGGACCCAAAGCAUUGUGGCCGAGUGUUGGAGCAGUCGAUUUUUCGACCUGAACUCAGACGUGAUUACCCGCUGAACUUAA
rnacentral:misc_RNA from 1 species